rnacentral:rRNA from 1 species
ACGUCGAGUGGCGAACGGGUGAGUAACACGUGGGUGAUCUGCCCUGCACUUCGGGAUAAGCCUGGGAAACUGGGUCUAAUACCGGAUAGGACCACAUUUUGGAUGGUGUGGUGGAAAGUUUUCGGUGUGGGAUGAGCUCGCGGCCUAUCAGCUUGUUGGUGGGGUAAUGGCCUACCAAGGCGUCGACGGGUAGCCGGCCUGAGAGGGUGUACGGCCACAUUGGGACUGAGAUACGGCCCAG